rnacentral:rRNA from 1 species
AAUGAACGCUGGCGGCGUGCCUAACACAUGCAAGUCGGAUGUGCCCGCAAGGGUGCAUGGCAGACGGGUGAGUAACACGUGGGAAUCUACCUUGUAGUGGGGGAUAAGCCAGGGAAACUUGGACUAAUACCGCAUACGCCCUAAGGGGGAAAGGAGCAAUUCGCUAUAAGGAUGAGCCCGCGUCUGAUUAGCUAGUUGGUGAGGUAAAGGCUCACCAAGGCGACGAUCAGUAGCUGGUCUGAGAGGAUGACCAGCCACAUUGGGACUGAGACACGGCCCAGACUCCUACGGGAGGCAGCAGUCGGGAAUAUUGGACAAUGGGGGCAACCCUGAUCCAGCAAUACCGCGUGUGUGAAGAAGGCCUGCGGGUUGUAAAGCACUUUUAGUAGGGAAGAUAAUGACGUUACCUACAGAAAAGCACCGGCUAACUCCGUG